GUCCCACCUGACCCCAUGCCGAACUCAGAAGUGAAACGCCGUAGCGCCGAUGGUAGUGUGGGGUCUCCCCAUGCGAGAGUAGGACACUGCCAGGC
rnacentral:rRNA from 1 species